ACAAACAGAAAAGAAAAAAAAAAAAUCGUUUACCAUCUCCCUUUCUCCCCUCACUCAAUCCACUGAAACCCGAGACGAAGAGCCCCUCACUUUUCUCUUCCUGCGUGCCGCAUGCAACCGACGAGGAAGGGUUCCGACGGUUACUAAAUGUUUAAAUAAGUGUUGGUAAAUUAGCAGCAUUCAUUUUAGGUUAUACCGACACUCUUAAACUGUCACUAUAUAUCUAGCGACCCCACAUAUAGCAACACUUUUUAAAAGUAUCGGUAAUUUACAAAGCAAUACUUUUUUUCCUGUACCGACAU
rnacentral:lncRNA from 1 species